rnacentral:rRNA from 3 species
GGACUACUGGGGUAUCUAAUCCCGUUCGCUCCCCUGGCUUUCGCGCCUCAACGUCAGUUGGAGUCCAGGACCCUGCUUUCGCCGUCGGCGUUCCUUCCGAUCUCAACGCAUUUCACCGCUCCACCGGCAGUUCCAGGUCCCCCUCCUCCACUCGAGGCCCGCCAUCUCGGUGCCCGUUCCCCGGUUGAGCCGGGGGAUUUCAGCGACCGAUGCGCGGGCCCGUCUACGCGCCCUUUAAGCCCAGUGAUUCCGAAUAACGUUCGCACGGUUCGUCUUACCGCGGCUGCUGGCAC